UCUCUCUCUCUCUCUCUCUCUCUCUCUCUCUCUCUCGCUCGUCGGAGUUGACCAGAUCUCCGACGAGUUCUCAACUUCGCCGGCUCUGGCUUACAAGUUUCUAUUAUUUUUGCAAUAAAUAGUAAUUAGGUGACAAUAAAGGUUAUUGUUGCAAGUUUACUAGGGAAGGUGAAUCGGUUUUGAUGUGGAUAACAAGUUUACUAGGGUCAGUAAUAUUUUGGUGGGGUGGAUAACAAGUUUACUAGGGGUUAGUAAUAUGUUAUUGAGGUGGAUAAGAGGUUUACUGGGUUUACUAGGUUUACUGGGGUCAGUAAUAUUUUGGUAGGGUGGAUAACAAGUUGACUAGAGGUCAGUAAUAUGUUAUGGGGUGGAUAACAAGUUUAUUGUAAGUCAGUAAUAUGUUAUUAGGGUGGAUAACAAGUUUACUGGGGGUCAGUAAUAUGUUAUUAGGGUGGAUAACAAGUUUACUAGGGUUAGUAAUAUUCUGGUGAGGUGAAUAACAAGUUUAUUGGGGGUCAGUAAUAUUCUGGUGAUCGGAUUCCGGCUACCGGUGACCGGAGUCCGGUAAAGUCCUCUCGCUUUUCAAUUUUCUCUCUCUAAAUGUGUUUUAAGACACAAGGGUAAAAAUGUCUCAAAAAUAUUAUUUUAUUAUAAAUUUAAUAAAAAUUUGUGUAUUUGGGCACAAAUAAGUUAAUCUCUCAUUCAAUUAGGGUCAAAAGUCUAUUCUCAUUGGAAUGAGGUUUGGCUUUUGUUUUUUUUUGUACAAAUAGACAUUUUCUUCUGAAUUCGAUCAUAUUAACACCGUUUAGUUUGACAGAAAAUGACAAUAUGUUUAUUUCUGUAAAUUAAGAAGAUUGAAGUAGGAACUAAGAAACCAGCUGCCCCAAAACGACGCGCCACAUACAUAAAAUUCAUGAAAUAAUCGGCUAGCUAUAGAUUGACUUGUUAGUUCUAGGGCUGGGCACGGGACGGGACGGGCCGGGAUUUGGUGAAUCCCGUCCCGUCCCGAAAAUAAAAGAACGGGACGGGACGGGACGGGAAGAUGUUUUUAAAAAUCUGUCCCGUACGUCCCGAUCCCGAUCGGAUCGGGAUCCCGACUAAAUUUUUUUUUUUUUCUAAGAACAAAUUAAUUGAUUAUCAAACACCACCACAGGUGGAAAAACGGGUUGAGAAACUCCAAGCAUUCAAAUGNNNNNNNNNNNNNNNNNNNNAAAUUAAAAGUAUUAUUUUAGACCAAAUUAAGUGUGGUUGAGUGCAUUGUAACACCAUGCAAUCUAAAAAAUCAAGUAUAAAAUGAAUAAAAUCAAGUAUUCUAAUAUUACGGGACGGGACGGGAUUUUUCGGGAUAGUCCCGUCCCGUCCCGUCCCGUUAUGGUAAUGUUAAAACUGGACGGGACGGGACGGGAUUGCUAUUUUCAAAACCUAUCUCGUCCCGUCCUGCUAACUUUCGGGACGGGACCGGUACAAGAUCGGGAUUCCGGUACUAAGUGCCCAGCCCUAGUUAGUUCCAUUCUUUGGUGACUGAAAUCGAAGAACUAGCUAUUUGGUGCCUUCUGAUGAUAAUCCUAAUUAUUAAACCGUACGUACGUAAGCCAUGCAAAAUUCUCCCUCAGUUCCUCGCUCCAGUUGCCAACUUGAACAUUCCAAUAACUGAAGAGUGUAGGAUAUAUUUAUGUUAAUUUCAAAUACAAAUACGUACAAGAUCAAUCAUAGAACUUCAUUCAGAUAAAUUGGAUUAAUGUAAUCAUCUUUUGUGGGGAUAUGUAUCAAACUAGGGCAUAACUGUUUGCAUUUGCUAGAUAUUUAAUUGUUUAAAGGUACUGGGUUCAUACCAACAUUGUUUGAAAUUCUUUUUUUGAAGGACUAAUUAUAUACGAUUGUCAUAUAUAUUGGCCAGCAAGUGGAAAUCUACUGAUAUAUUGGGUGCCUUUCAGAAGUUAUCACAUUGCCUGCCUCUCAAGAGAAGAAGUUAAAAUGUCGAUCUAGAUUUUUAACAUUUUGAAUCAUAGUCGAGCAUAGACUCAACAGACUAGAUAUAUAUCGCACACGUGCAUCCUACAUAUAUACGAGACACAUGGGAUCGGAGGUGAUGAUCUAUAUUUGUGUAUUCUGAUUAUAUAUGGAAUAUAUAGUAGGUGAUGAACAAUAUCAGAUCUUAAUAACUACUAUAUAUGGACGGGGGGAGGAAAAGUAAAACGGUAGAAAUUUCUGUUGUUAAAUUCUUAGUGGUCAGGGA
rnacentral:lncRNA from 1 species